rnacentral:rRNA from 1 species
AAUGAACGUUGGCGGCGUGGAUUAGGCAUGCAAGUCGAGCGCUCAUAGCAAUAUGGGAGCGGCGAACGGCGUAGUAAUAUGUAGGAACGUACCCUCGGGUCGGGGAUAGCCAUGGGAAACUGUGGGUAAUACCCGAUAAUCUCUGCGGAGCAAAGGUGUGAUUCCGCCUGAGGAGCGGCCUACACGAUAUUAGCUAGUUGGUAGGGUAAUGGCCUACCAAGGCUACGAUGUCUAGGGGGUGUGAGAGCAUGGCCCCCACGACCGGAACUGAGAUACUGUCCGGACACCUACGGGUGGCUGCAGUCGAGAAUCUUCCGCAAUGGACGAAAGUCUGACGGAGCGACGCCGCGUGCGGGAUGAAGGCCCUUGGGUUGUAAACCGCUGUCAGAGGGGAUGAAAUCUUCGGAGGUGCUCCUCCAAAGUUGACAGAGCCUCAAAGGAGCACGGGCUAAGUACGUGCCAGCAGCCGCGG